rnacentral:misc_RNA from 1 species
CGCAGAACACAACGCCACCUCUGCCUCUGAAAAACCACAUACGUGUCAGUACCUCAUCUCCUGUUCGAUCGCUACAAUGGCGACCGGAAAACCUGCAACCCGCACUCACCCAACCACAUGCUAUAAACUUUCUCUUUCCUCUCAACGGUCCUCCGUUCCCUACUUCUGUGCUAUGGUUUUAACCUUUAAUCCUCUUCUCUGUCCUUCUGAUUCUUUCACAUGGAUUGAACAACACUUCUCUAAUCUUUCAUUUCUUUUCCUUUUGGUAUGUUUUUUAUGUGGGUUUUCUUCUGAAUUUUGAUUUGAGAGGGAAUUUUCAAGAAUGUGUUUGGUUUCUUUCAGAAUACAAGAAAUGGGGAGCUGCAAUUUUCCUGGUUGGAAAAGAGCUGGUUAUGUCUCCCAAAUUCUUGAUUAGGGUUCAUCUGAAUCUUCGAUCGUGUGCUUGGCUUGCAACAGUUGGUGAUAGCUAUCUUUUGCUGUCUGGGACCUUGGGAUUCAUGUCUUUAAGCUAUGGGUGUGUCCAGCUUAGUGUAGUUUUUUUUAAUCAUUUUAGUUUAUUUUUGUGCUUUUGGGAUUGAAAAUGGAUUAAGGUUGGACAAUGGCUUCAGCGACUGAUGUUUCACGUCAGAUAUCAACAUGGGAUGUUGGAUGUACUAACAGUAAUAGCAGUUUGCCUGCCAUGGACAAUGAAAACGAUGAUGCUUCUGAGAAUUUGAGCCAAUCGAAAGCUGGCAAACCUCCAAGAAACCUCUCUUGCAUGAGGCAUUGCAGCAACACAGCAUUUUUGACAGAUCCUGUGAGUUCAUCCCUUUUUGGUGUUAGCCACCCAUCCUUUGUUUUCCUCUCAUCUUUUUGAAUGAGGUUUUCUUUUUGUACCUUGUUCUUCACUAAUAAAGAUCUGAAACUUACUCAAGUAAAUAUCCAAUGAGUUAAUGUGAGUGAGGUGAAAGACGAAAGAAGAAAAAUAUUGUCUUCAUCCAUAUAAAUUUGAAUCUAAUUUCUGCAGUUUUAUUGUAAUUCCAUCCCCCCUUAUAAUGUAUAUCUGUUUUUAUACUUCUAGGAUGCCAAUUUCCAAAAAAGGCAUCAUAGUUCUGCCCAUGAACCUAACUUUUAUUAUAUUCUUUAAGGCCCAAUUGUGUUUGGUAUUUCAUUUUCCAUUGAAGCAAUUGUUGGAAGCAUUUCCUGAGAAUAAGGAAUUAAAACGGAUCAAAUCUCUUAAUACAUACAGAAGAACAGCGUGCUGUAAUUAAUUUUGAGGAGCUUUUGCAUUUAUCUUAAGCCUCUCAUUGACCUGUUUUGCAUGUUUGCAUGUUUGUCUGUGUUAAAGCUUGCACAUGGGUAUGUUUUAGCGUGGGUAGAAUGUAUAAUGCCCAGUGCCUGAUAGGCACAAAUUUUUGAUCUGUUGAUUGAUUAUUGUUGUGUAAUCCAUAACAGAAAAGAGUCAGAUUUUAUCUAAUUAUCCACUAAUGUCAUUUGUAUAGGAAUUAGAUAUUGGAGUUAUCUGCUUGAAGUCGCCAUCAACUGAGAAUUCUGGAUUUCUACCUAUAUUUCGCUCAGGAAGCUCUUCUGAGAAAGGACCAAAGCAAUACAUGGAGGACGAGUACAUAUGCGUGGACAAUCUACAUCAAUAUUUUUCUAGGGCUAUAAACUGCCCUUCUCCUGUAGCAUUUUAUGGGGUGUGUAAGUUGCAGAGGGUUUAGUAUACUUAAUUGUUCAGAAAUUAUUUUUAUUUAAAAAGUUUCAUAAUCGAAGUUCAUCGCAUGAAUGAAGUGCAUACAUCCUUGGGAUAGUCUAAUGAAUUUUCCCAUGUAUGACAUUAGCCAUUUUCUUGUUUAAGUACUUUGUUUGCUUCACUCUGCUUUACCCAGAUUUAAGUUCCUACCAGCAAUCUGAAGACAAAAACCAUUAAUAUAUAAUUCCUCAUGGCUUUGUCUUGUGAAUCAUUCAUUCAUCGAGGUGGUGUGGUGAAUUUCAGUUUACUUGUCCAGGUGUUUGAUGGGCAUGGUGGCGUUGAUGCAGCGUCAUUUACCAGAAAGAACAUUCUUAAUUUUAUCGUUGAAGAUUCACAAUUUCCAUCUGGUAUGAAAAAAGCAAUUAAGAGUGCCUUUGUGAAGGCUGAUCAUGCACUUGCUGAUGCUAAAUCUGUUGAUAGUUCCUCUGGCACUACUGCUUUGACUGCCCUUAUCUUGGGAAGGUGACAAACUACACAGCUUUCAGUUUGCAUCUACCUAUUAAUUUUGAUAGUAAAGCUAUUCUUUGGAUUUCAGUGAUGGUGAUUAAGCUGCACUAUUUUUUUUUUUUUAUGUAGUUUAGUGGUAUUUGUUGCAAUUAUUUGUUUGAUCUGCACUCUUCUAGGACCAUGCUUAUCGCGAAUGCCGGUGAUUCUAGAGCUGUAUUGGGCAAACGGGGAAGAGCAAUUGAACUAUCAAAAGACCACAAACCUAACUGCACCUCUGAGCGGCUAAGAAUUGAGAGACUAGGAGGUGUGAUUUACGAUGGCUACCUUAAUGGCCAAUUAUCUGUGGCUCGUGCUCUUGGUGAUUGGCACAUUAAGGGUAAUAAAGGUUCAGAAAGCCCCUUGAGUGCUGAGCCAGAGUUGGAAGAGAUUAACCUGACUGAAGAAGAUGAGUUUUUGAUAAUUGGUUGUGACGGCCUGUGGGAUGUGAUGAGCAGCCAGUGUGCAGUCACAAUUGUGAGGAAGGAACUCAUGAUCCAUAAUGAUCCUGAGAGGUGCUCGAAAGCACUUGUCAAGGAGGCACUCCAGCGCAAUACAUGUGACAAUCUGACAGUCAUAGUAGUCUGUUUCUCUCCUGAUCCUCCUCCUAAGAUUGAAAUGCCUAGAUCCCAUAAAAGGAGGAGCAUAUCAGCUGAGGGGUUAGAUAUUCUCAAGGGUGUCUUGAAUAAUGACAUUUGAGCAAAAACUGCUUGCAUCUUGUAUAAAAAACAAGGGAGGGAAUCAGAACUUCCACAGUUGGUGAGGGAUUUUUCCAAGUCAAGUCUGCUACCUGCUGCAGCUGGAAAAUGCUGGUUUCUUGAACCUAAACAUCCUGUAUAUUUGAGAUAGUUUAAAUUUUGAAGAGUUACUUUGUAGUGCUGAAUGCUGAUAUAGUUGUUGCAGUCAUUUUGGUGCCAUGUGAAUUGAGCUCUUGAUUUGGCCCUGCAGUCUGCACAUGAAAACAAGAAAAAUGUGUCUAUUGCAAAUAAUGUAUUAGAGUGGAAAUGACACGACAAUUUUGAUUGUAAAUAAGUUUGUAGGAAAGCUUGGACGACCAAGUGUGCAAAUAUAUAUGUAUAUAUUUUUUAUUGGGAGAUUAGGGACUCGAACCUAAAUCGGUCUAGGCAAUGGAAGUUAUUGAGUUAUCAAUCAAAUAAAAGAAAAGCUAAAUAUUUG